AGGACGAACGCUGGCGGCGUGCUUAACACAUGCAAGUCGAGCGGAAAGGCCCUUCGGGGUACUCGAGCGGCGAACGGGUGAGUAACACGUGAGUAAUCUGCCCCUAGCUCUGGGAUAGCUCCGGGAAAACCGGGAUUAAUACCAGAUACGACCACUUUAGACAUCUGUUGUGGUGGAAAGAAUUUUGGCUAGGGAUGAGCUCGCGGCCUAUCAGCUUGUUGGUGAGGUAACGGCUCACCAAGGCGACGACGGGUAGCCGGCCUGAGAGGGCGACCGGCCACACUGGGACUGAGACACGGCCCAGACUCCUACGGGAGGCAGCAGUGGGGAAUAUUGCGCAAUGGGCGAAAGCCUGACGCAGCGACGCCGCGUGAGGGAUGACGGCCUUCGGGUUGUAAACCUCUUUCAGCCCUGACGAAGCGAAAGUGACGGUAGGGGCGAGAAGAAGCACCGGCCAACACGUGCCAGCAGCCGCGGUAA
rnacentral:rRNA from 1 species